ensembl:lncRNA
CAGAAACUCUUUAAUGAAGGUAGGGGCUGCCUGCAAAGCCGUGUUAAGUGCACGGGAACGGACUCACACUGACUCACUUCCACAAUGGGUGCUGUUGGCUGUGAUUUCAGCUCCUCAGGCUGUGUGGUGGCGCAUUUGGAUGUGUGGUGACGGCAGGGACAGAUUACGCAUGAGUACCUUCAGAAGAAACGGGCACCUUUAACAAAGAACAAAUACGAGGAAGUGGUAGUGUCGCGUGACGGAAGGAACUGAUGAUUUGGUGGGUGAUGGGGUGCCCUGAAAGGACAGGAAGCCUGAGCCGGGUCUUGAUGUCGGGGUGGAGCUUCGGGGGCUCAUGGAGCGCUGCUGAACGCCUGGUUUACUAGUGUGAUUUUGAGAGCGAACAGGUUUUCUUCUGAGUUUCCUGCUCACGGUUCGGGUGAAAGCUGUCUUUGUCCUGCGGAGGUGGAAACAUGGACACUGCUCUGGCCAAGAACAGCUCCCCAGAAUUUUCCGCUGGCAACAGGCUUAUUUGGGUUGGAGUGUUUGCAGCAACAGUGGAUCAUCAUUGUGUCAGCUGAAAGCAUCCGGUGGAUGUCCCUAAUUUCUUCUGAUUGCAUAUGCAUGGCACAGAUAAAGGGUCUUUCAGUGGUUAUGGUAUUUUUUGCCUGCGUGUGCAUGUGCGUUGUUCGUGUGUGUGUGUGUGUGUGUGAGAGAGAGAGAGAGAGAAAGAGAGAGAGUGUUCAUGCCAGAGGUCAACCCCUCAGAUGUAAUCUUUUUGAGAUAGAAUCUCUCACUGGGACUGGAGCGUGCUGUGUCCCAGCUUUGUGGACUGAGUUGUCUCUCCAACCCUGAAUCUUGGUUAAUGUGGCUCACUUUCUUGUGAACCACCCGAGCCUCCUUGAGGCAGAGACCUACUGUGAUAUUAUUGUACUUUAUUUUAUCUCCAGGCACCUGAGUUGUAUUUGUUCAAGGUGAAUGAUUCCAGAGAAGAGGUUUGCUCGGUCCAUCAGCCUAAGGAAAUGAUGAAAUCGACCAAUUACUAAUAGGAAAUAUGUCAGAAGCUUUAAAAUUUCAUGAGAAACAUCAUGUUAAUGGGAAAGGUUUAAAGAAAAAAAUUCCCAUUGCUCGGCGACAAGCCAAAAAUAAUAAAAAAGUGCCUUACAUGUUCUCUCUACAACCAAACUCCAUUACCUGUGGGUAGUAACCCUAGGGGCACCAAAAGAAAUGACAUCUGGCAGUGGAUGUUUUCCAUUUCCCAGAAUUUGGAAAGCAAAGAUAUAUACACCAUGCAUACCAUUGACCCAUUCUCGGGGUUUCAAUGGGCAACUGCUUUAAGUUCUGAAAGGCUGACUGUGCAAUUACACACUUACUGGAAAUAAUGGCAGGGUUGGGGAUUUAGCUCAGUGGUAGAGCGCUGGCCCUGGGUUCGGUCCCCAGCUCUGAAAAAAAGAAAAAAAAAAAAAGAAAUAAUGGCAAUUAUGGGUCAGCUGCACCAAUUAAAACUGAGAGUGCUCCCGCGUACGUAUCCGAUAAGAUGAAGCAGUUCUCUGCAACCGUAAGAUAUAGCACGAUACCACACAAUCCCACAGGACAAGCCGAAAGAGCCAAUCACACCUUAAAAGAGAUGCUGAGUAAACAAAAAGAGAGAAUGAAAACCGCCAGGGACAGACUAACACUCAACUUUCUUACUGUUGGCGAGAAAGGGAGCUACAGCCGCUGAGAGACACUGCGUUAUCAAAAAACUGAGCAACCGGUCCAACCAAUAUACUAUAAGGAUGUGUUGACAUUAGAAUGGAGACCUGCAAUGGUUUUUAAGAUGGGGACGUGGUUUAUGCUUAUGUAUGUACAGGGAAUGAAAAAAAAAUGUCAAUACCAAGAAAACUUACAAGGAUUAGAUCGGACCAACAAAACUUAUAAAAAUCAGAUCUGACCAGGGAAAACCUCUUAUCACCGGAGACAAGGAUGUCUCCACAAAGCAAACAGCCCAAAUAAUUCUCAGACUGUCUCAAUUACUGACUUCUUCAGAAAACGCAUGCAAAUCAACUUCAAAGGGCUGGGCCAGGUGAUCCGUCAUGAAGAGCCGGACAGACAGACAAUGCAGAGACUGAGUAAUAAAGGCUGCACUUAGCUUUUUUCGGACUAACCAUUUUCUGGAUAAUUUUGCUUGCUUUACGUGCUAUGAUUGCUGUCAUCUAGGG